UUAAAUUGAAGAGUUUGAUCAUGGCUCAGAUUGAACGCUGGCGGCAGGCCUAACACAUGCAAGUCGAACGGUAACAGAAAUCAGCUUGCUGAUUUGCUGACGAGUGGCGGACGGGUGAGUAAUGUC
rnacentral:rRNA from 1 species